UUGGAAUCAAGGAGAGGUGAUCACAAUGGGAAUGAGCUGGGCCUUCUUCGUUCCAGUUUUAAUGGCCGCGAACCUCAGAUUCUGGUUCCCUUUGCUCCUUCCCCUCCCUGCCUUGCUGAGCAGUGACAUGAAGAUGGAGUCCUUUAAGUUAGGACUAUUUGGAGGAAGAGGCUAUGACCGUGAGAGCUUCCAGGGCCAGGGAUAAGAAAACUCUGCUUCUGAGAACAGGAAAAACAAACCAGCUGCAUUAACUCCUUCUUUGGGGUCGUAUAUUUUAAUCAUAACAACCAAAGGUCUAAACUUCCUCUCUGAAAAUGAGGAAAUGACACAAGGCUUUGAAUUGUAGAGUUUCGACUGCAAUGCACUGAAUGAACAGUGUUGAAACGGCCCCACAGUACUUUCAUUGUGCCAUAUCUCUGUAUCCAAAGCUUUGGGAACUGUUUGUUAUAAAGAAAGGGCAACAUCAAUCAUUCACUGUUGAAGAGGCGGCCAGAUGGGCAAGAGGGGGAACUAGCACAAAUUUAUGGUGCAAUCCUAUGCACAUCUAACUCUGAAGCCUUGCUCCCAGGUAAAGUGCCUUCAGCAACCUGCAGCCUUAGCCCAUUCUUAAAACGAGAUAUUAAAAUGCUAACUUCCCAACUCUGCAUGUCUUAAAUCUGUGCCUGUCUUCUUCAUAGGCUGGUCCACACAUGCAGUUUAUCACUUGGGAAUGAAACACCCAGUGUUAUUUUUCAGGUUGGAUGAGGGAUGAUUGAUCACGCACCACAAAAUGUUCUUAGCAUCUCAGGUGCAGAGGGCGUUGGUUCACACAUUCAGCUGUGCCAUCUUCGAGUCAGGAAAAAUCAGGUCCUGUGCUUGAAUUUUCAGAUCAAAUAUAUCUUUGCAAAGCUUUCCGUUUCUGGAUGUGAAACUAGACAGAUCUGGGACUGAACAUCUGAAGAUUCUGUGAAUCAAGAACCUAGAAACAAGGCAGCAAUCUGAAGUCCUUGGGGUUUUUAAAACCACACCCCACCCCAGAAACCCCAACCUUCCUUAGGACAUUUGAGAACCUCAUAAGAGUUCUGCUGGAAGAAACCAAUGGCCCAUCCAGUCCGUUUCAGACAUCCAUUGCACAUGUAUAGAUGACAGCUCAGGGUGGGGACUGCAGACCACACUUUGCAUUUUCCCAGACCACAAACCACAUGGAUUGUAGGUCUGCCUUUCCGUGUCAGGCAGGAGCCACGCCAGGAAAACGUCCACCCCUGCAAUCUGUGUGACUCUAAAAGGUUUGGGAAGUCAACCUCCCAGGUUUUAAGUCUCCGGACAAGCUGACAUCUCCUUGAAGCAAGGACAUUCAAGGACUCCUUGAAGCCAGUCUAUCAGUGGCUGGGACUGAUGCCACGGCCACUCGGGUAAACCAAACAGUUUGCCUUUUGUAACAGGGGUUUUCUCCGACGAGGCAGCAUUGGGGAAGAAAGCACAAAUAUUUGGUUUCACAAUUCAAGCAUUGUUUCAGAUCACAGAAGUUCGCUGUACAUUGUGAGCCAAUGGCACGCAAACUAUGAGAAAUCUAGGCAUCUAUUUUUAAAUAUGCAGAAGGUCCCCGGGUCAUUCUCUCCUGCUUGUUGCUAGCUUUCUACAAAAGGCCUAAGCAAACAAGGGGGUUAGCUUUAGGACAAGCUGUGUAUUAAAU